ensembl:lncRNA
GGGCGGAAGAUGGGCCUCCAGUGCUGGCUGCUCCCCGGAAUGCCCUCCCCACUGCUGGGUCCCCAUCAAUGUCUGUGACUUGGGCGAAACGUUGCCUCCUCAGAGAGGCCACUGUGAGCCCCUCUAGGGAGGGUGGCCCCCCCUGUAGAUUACUCUCUACCAGCAUACCCGCUCCAUGCCCUUCUAGCCCUCCGCAGAGCUGUCAUCGGCUAUCUACUGAUUUGUAUUUUGUUUGUAGUGCGUUUUUCUCAAUAGAUGGGAAGUUCCUCUGUCACCUUGUUGCAUGGACCACGUUGCAUCUGGCAGGCUUCCUGAAACACGCUGAGCUGGGUGUCUCCUCCCUGGCCCCCAGGACUAAUACCACAGCAUUCACCCCACUCAGGUAACCAUGUGUCCCACCUUUGUCCUCCCCACAGAUUGUGCUGUUGGGCAGAGUAAGCAGCAGGAGUUUGUCCAGUAAAUAAAGGCGGCCG